CCUACGGGUGGCAGCAGUGAGGAAUAUUGGUCAAUGGGCGCAAGCCUGAACCAGCCAUGUCGCGUGAAGGACGACUGCUCUAUGAGUUGUAAACUUCUUUUGUACGAGGGUAAAGCCCGAUACGGUUAUCGGUUUGAAAGUAUCGUACGAAUAAGGAUCGGCUAACUCCGUGCCAGCAGCCGCGGUAAUACGGAGGAUACAAGCGUUAUCCGGAUUUAUUGGGGUUAAAGGGUGCGUAGGCGGGUGGUUAAGUUAGUGGUGAAAUCCUGGGGAUCAACCCAGGCACUGCCUCUGAUACUGGCGGGCUAGAGUUUAGGUGCGGUAGGCGGAAUGUAUGGUGUAGCGGUGAAAUGCAUAGAGAUCAUGCAGAACACCGAUUGCGAAGGCAGCAUACCAAACCAAGACUGACGUUGAGGCACGAAAGCGUGGGGAGCAAACAGGAUUAGAUACCCGUGUAGUC
rnacentral:rRNA from 1 species